GAUGAACGCUGGCGGCGUGCCUAAUACAUGCAAGUCGAGCGAACAGUCGAGGAGCUUGCUCCUCUGAUGUUAGCGGCGGACGGGUGAGUAACACGUGGAUAACCUACCUAUAAGACUGGGAUAACUUCGGGAAACCGGAGCUAAUACCGGAUAACAUGUUGAACCGCAUGGUUCAACAGUGAAAGACGGUCUUGCUGUCACUUAUAGAUGGAUCCGCGCCGCAUUAGCUAGUUGGUAAGGUAACGGCUUACCAAGGCAACGAUGCGUAGCCGACCUGAGAGGGUGAUCGGCCACACUGGAACUGAGACACGGUCCAGACUCCUACGGGAGGCAGCAGUAGGGAAUCUUCCGCAAUGGGCGAAAGCCUGACGGAGCAACGCCGCGUGAGUGAAGAAGGUCUUCGGAUCGUAAAACUCUGUUAUUAGGGAAGAACAAAUGUGUAAGUAACUAUGCACGUCUUGACGGUACCUAAUCAGAAAGCCACGGCUAACUACGUG
rnacentral:rRNA from 1 species